rnacentral:pre_miRNA from 1 species
AGGCCGAGAUGGGGACAAUAUUGUACUAUCCAGUAUUGCACUCGUCCCGGCCUAU